UACGUAGGGGGCGAGCGUUGUCCGGAGUACUGGGCGUAAAGCGCACGCAGGCGGUCUGCUAAGUUUGGAGUGACAGUUGGUGGCUUAACUGCCAAAGUGCUUCGAAAACUGACAGACUUGAGGGCUUCAGAGGGACACGGAAUUCCGGGUGGAGUGGUGAAAUGCGUAGAGAUCCGGAGGAACACCAGCGGCGAAGGCGGCAUCCUGGACUGGUACUGACGCUCAGGAGCGAAAGCUAGGGGAGCAAACAGG
rnacentral:rRNA from 1 species